GAUGAACGCUGGCGGCGUGCCUAAUACAUGCAAGUAGAACGCUGAAGGAAGGAGCUUGCUCUUUCCGGAUGAGUUGCGAACGGGUGAGUAACGCGUAGGUAACCUGCCUGGUAGCGGGGGAUAACUAUUGGAAACGAUAGCUAAUACCGCAUAACAGUAGAUGUUGCAUGAUAUCUACUUAAAAGGUGCAAUUGCACCACUACCAGAUGGACCUGCGUUGUAUUAGCUAGUUGGUGAGGUAACGGCUCACCAAGGCGACGAUACAUAGCCGACCUGAGAGGGUGAUCGGCCACACUGGGACUGAGACACGGCCCAGACUCCUACGGGAGGCAGCAGUAGGGAAUCUUCGGCAAUGGACGGAAGUCUGACCGAGCAACGCCGCGUGAGUGAAGAAGGUUUUCGGAUCGUAAAGCUCUGUUGUAAGAGAAGAACGAGUGCGAGAGUGGAAAGUUCACACUGUGACGGUAUCUUACCAGAAAGGGACGGCUAACUACGUG
rnacentral:rRNA from 1 species